rnacentral:rRNA from 1 species
CCUACGGGAGGCUGCAGUGGGGAAUAUUGGACAAUGGGCGAAAGCCUGAUCCAGCCAUGCCGCGUGUGUGAAGAAGGCCUUCGGGUUGUAAAGCACUUUCAGUGGGGAAGAAAGCCUUGGGGCUAAUACCCUCGAGGAAGGACAUCACCCACAGAAGAAGCACCGGCUAACUCCGUGCCAGCAGCCGCGGUAAUACGGAGGGUGCGAGCGUUAAUCGGAAUUACUGGGCGUAAAGCGCGCGUAGGCGGUCUGAUAAGCCGGUUGUGAAAGCCCCGGGCUCAACCUGGGAACGGCAUCCGGAACUGUCAGGCUAGAGUGCAGGAGAGGAAGGUAGAAUUUCCGGUGUAGCGGUGAAAUGCGUAGAGAUCGGGAGGAAUACCAGUGGCGAAGGCGGCCUUCUGGACUGACACUGACGCUGAGGUGCGAAAGCGUGGGUAGCAAACAGGAUUAGAUACCCGAGUAGUC